rnacentral:rRNA from 1 species
GAUGAACGCUGGCGGCGUGCCUAAUACAUGCAAGUCGAGCGAACGGACGAGAAGCUUGCUUCUCUGAUGUUAGCGGCGGACGGGUGAGUAACACGUGGAUAACCUACCUAUAAGACUGGGAUAACUUCGGGAAACCGGAGCUAAUACCGGAUAAUAUUUUGAACCGCAUGGUUCAAAAGUAAAAGACGGUCUUGCUGUCACUUAUAGAUGGAUCCGCGCUGCAUUAGCUAGUUGGUAAGGUAACGGCUUACCAAGGCAACGAUGCAUAGCCGACCUGAGAGGGUGAUCGGCCACACUGGAACUGAGACACGGUCCAGACUCCUACGGGAGGCAGCAGUAGGGAAUCUUCCGCAAUGGGCGAAAGCCUGACGGAGCAACGCCGCGUGAGCGAUGAAGGUCUUCGGAUCGUAAAACUCUGUUAUUAGGGAAGAAUAUAUGUGUAAGUAACUGUGCACAUCUUGACGGUACCUAAUCAGAAAGCCACGGCUAACUACGUGCCAGCAGCCGCGGUAAUACGUAGGUGGCAAGCGUUAUCCGGAAUUAUUGGGCGUAAAGCGCGCGUAGGCGGUUUUUUAAGUCUGAUGUGAAAGCCCACGGCUCAACCGUGGAGGGUCAUUGGAAACUGGAAAACUUGAGUGCAGAAGAGGAAAGUGGAAUUCCAUGUGUAGCGGUGAAAUGCGCAGAGAUAUGGAGGAACACCAGUGGCGAAGGCGACUUUCUGGUCUGUAACUGACGCUGAUGUGCGAAAGCGUGGGGAUCAAACAGGAUUAGAUACCCUGGUAGUCCACGCCGUAAACGAUGAGUGCUAAGUGUUAGGGGGUUUCCGCCCCUUAGUGCUGCAGCUAACGCAUUAAGCACUCCGCCUGGGGAGUACGACCGCAAGGUUGAAACUCAAAGGAAUUGACGGGGACCCGCACAAGCGGUGGAGCAUGUGGUUUAAUUCGAAGCAACGCGAAGAACCUUACCAAAUCUUGACAUCCUUUGACAACUCUAGAGAUAGAGCCUUCCCCUUCGGGGGACAAAGUGACAGGUGGUGCAUGGUUGUCGUCAGCUCGUGUCGUGAGAUGUUGGGUUAAGUCCCGCAACGAGCGCAACCCUUAAGCUUAGUUGCCAUCAUUAAGUUGGGCACUCUAAGUUGACUGCCGGUGACAAACCGGAGGAAGGUGGGGAUGACGUCAAAUCAUCAUGCCCCUUAUGAUUUGGGCUACACACGUGCUACAAUGGACAAUACAAAGGGCAGCGAAACCGCGAGGUCAAGCAAAUCCCAUAAAGUUGUUCUCAGUUCGGAUUGUAGUCUGCAACUCGACUACAUGAAGCUGGAAUCGCUAGUAAUCGUAGAUCAGCAUGCUACGGUGAAUACGUUCCCGGGUCU